rnacentral:rRNA from 1 species
GACGAACGCUGGCGGCGUGCUUAACACAUGCAAGUCGAACGGAAAGGCCCCUUUGGGGGUACUCGAGUGGCGAACGGGUGAGUAACACGUGAGUAACCUGCCCUUGACUUCGGGAUAACUUCAGGAAACUGGGGCUAAUACCGGAUAGGAAUCCUUGCUGCAUGGUGGGGGUUGGAAAGCUUCGGCGGUUUUGGAUGGACUCGCGGCUUAUCAGCUUGUUGGUGGUGUAGUGGCUUACCAAGGCUUUGACGGGUAGCCGGCCUGAGAGGGCGACCGGCCACAUUGGGACUGAGAUACGGCCCAGACUCCUACGGGAGGCAGCAGUGGGGAAUAUUGCACAAUGGGCGGAAGCCUGAUGCAGCAACGCCGCGUGCGGGAUGACGGCCUUCGGGUUGGAAACCGCUUUCAGCAGGGGCGAAGCUUGUGGUGACGGUACCUGCAGAAGAAGCACCGGCUAACUACGUG